GCUUCGAGUAGAAGCGUUCAGCGCAUCACGGCUUGGGCCGUGCCGCCCGGAAAUUGCUCACCCC
rnacentral:ncRNA from 1 species